UGGCUAAUGAUGAUAAAUCUUAUCUUAGCGGAUUUCUCUGAGAUCAUUCUUGUAAUGAUCAGAGAUGAAAUAUUUGUUACACACUCUGAAGCCA